GUAGGUGAACCUGCGGAAGGAUCAUUAAGAAUCUUCUUGAGCUGUCGGCUUCGGCCUUCAGCGCCUCGGUGGUGCACUUCGGUGCCCGCCUUGGUUAAACCCAUUGUGAACCUUAAACAAAUUUUCGCUUCGGCAGCGGUCCAUACCCUUUAGCUAGGUCAGGAUUGUCAGCCUGCCGGCAGCACCCAAAACCAAACUCUUUUGUUUAAAAACAUGCCUGUCUGAACAAAUAUUUUCGAAUGAAAUUAAAACUUUCAACAACGGAUCUCUUGGUUCUC
rnacentral:misc_RNA from 1 species